CUACGGGUGGCAGCAGUGAGGAAUAUUGCACAAUGGGGGGAACCCUGAUGCAGCAACGCCGCGUGGAGGAUGACGCAUUUCGGUGUGUAAACUCCUUUUAUAUAUCAAGAAAAUGACGGUAGCAUAUGAAUAAGCACCGGCUAACUCCGUGCCAGCAGCCGCGGUAAUACGGAGGGUGCAAGCGUUACUCGGAAUCACUGGGCGUAAAGGACGCGUAGGCGGGUCGGAAAGUCAGGUGUGAAAUCCUACAGCUUAACUGUAGAACUGCACUUGAAACUUCUAAUCUAGAGUAUGGGAGGGGGAGAUGGAAUUAGUGGUGUAGGGGUAAAAUCCGUAGAUAUCACUAGGAAUACCUAAAGCGAAGGCGAUCUCCUGGAACAUUACUGACGCUAAGGCGUGAAAGCGUGGGGAGCAAACAGGAUUAGAUACCCCGGUAGUC
rnacentral:rRNA from 1 species